rnacentral:rRNA from 1 species
UGGGGAAUUUUGGGACAAUGGGCGAAAGCCUGAUCCAGCAAUGCCGCGUGUGUGAAGAAGGCCUUCGGGUUGUAAAGCACUUUUGUCCGGAAAGAAAUGGCUCUGGUUAAUACCUGGGGUCGAUGACGGUACCGGAAGAAUAAGGACCGGCUAACUACGUGCCAGCAGCCGCGGUAAUACGUAGGGUCCAAGCGUUAAUCGGAAUUACUGGGCGUAAAGCGUGCGCAGGCGGUUGUGCAAGACCGAUGUGAAAUCCCCGGAGCUUAGCUUGGGAAUUGCAUUGGUGACUGCACGGCUAGAGUGUGUCAGAGGGGGUAGAAUUCCACGUGUAGCAGUGAAAUGCGUAGAGAUGUGGAGGAAUACCGAUGGGCGAAGGCAGCCCCCUGGGAUAACACUGACGCUCAUGCACGAAAGCGUGGGGAGCAAACAGGAUUAGAUACCCCUGGUAGUCCACGCCCUAAACGAUGUCAACUAGUUGUUGGGGAUUCAUUUCCUUAGUAACGUAGCUAACGCGUGAAGUUGACCGCCUGGGGAGUACGGUCGCAAGA